rnacentral:rRNA from 1 species
UACGUAGGGGGCAAGCGUUGUCCGGAUUUAUUGGGCGUAAAGAGCGUGUAGGCGGCCAGGUAGGUCAGCUGUGAAAACUCGAGGCUCAACCUCGAGACGCCGGUUGAAACCAUCUGGCUAGAGUCCGGAAGAGGAGACUGGAAUUCCUGGUGUAGCGGUGAAAUGCGCAGAUAUCAGGAGGAACACCGGUGGCGAAGGCGGUCUCUGGCGGCAUACUGACGCUGAGGAGCGAAAGCGUGGGGAGCGAACAGG